rnacentral:lncRNA from 1 species
AGACUGGCUGAGUCUUCUGGUCUUCAUCUUUCUCCCAUGCUGGAUGCUUCCUGCCCUUGAACAUUGGACUGCAAGUUCUUUAGCUUUUGGACGUUUGGACUUACACCAGUGGUUUGCCAGGGGCUCUCAGACCUUCUGCCACAGACUGAAGGCUGCACUUUCAGCUUCCCUACUUUUGAGGUUUUGGAACUCGGACUGGCUUUCUUGCUCCGCAGCUUGCAGGUGGCCUGUUAUGGGACUUUACCUUGUGGAUCAUGGUGAUCAUGGAAGCAAAUGUCAGAAGAGCAAAGCAACGUAGAACGCUCAGCCACCUCAGGAAGAACCUUGAAAAGUCACCUGGAUAUAUUUUUGUGAACUGGUGUCCCAGGACAGAUUUUCAGCUGAAUUCUACAAGAGGUGACAAAGUAGGGCUGGUAUCGUUGAUACUGAAACUAUUCCAAAAAAUUGAAAAGGAGGCACUCCUGCCUAACUCAUUCUAUGAAGCCAGCAUCAUCCUGAUACCAAAACCUGACCAAGGUACAACAAAAAAAGAAAACUUCAAGCCAAUAUCUUUGAUGUACAUAGGUACAAAAAUCCUCAAUAAAAUACUGGCAAACUAAAUCCAGCAGCACAUCAAAAAGCUUAUUCACCUCAAUCAAGUUGGUUUCAUACCUGGGAUGCAAGGUUGGUUCAACACAACCUCACUGUGAUCAAUAAAUGUGAUUCAUUACUUAAACAGAACUAAAGACAAAAAAAUCAAUAAAUGUGAUUUAUUACUUAAACAGAGCUCAAGACAAAAACCACAUGAUUAUCUCAAUAGAUACAAAAAAGGCCUUUGAUAAAAUUCAACAUUCCUGCAUGUUAAAGACUUUCCAUAAACUAGGUAUUGAAGGGAUAUACCUCAAAAUAUGUAAGAGCCAUAUAUGACAAACCCACAGCCAAUAUACUAAAUGGGCAAAAGCUGGAAGCACUCCCUUAAAAACUGGCACUAGACAAGGAUGCCCUCUCUCACCACUCCUAUUCAACAUAGUUUUGGAAAUUCUGGCCAGGGCAAUCAGCAAGAGAAAGAAAUAAAGCGUAUUCAAAUAGGAAGUCAAAUUAUCUCUGUUUGCAGAUGACAUGAUCUUAUGACUAGAAAGCUCCAUCUUCUCAGCCCAAAAGCUUCUUAAGCUGAUAAGCAACUGCAGCAAAGUCACAGAAUACAAAAUCAGUGUGCAAAAAUUGCUAGCAUUCAUAUACAUCAACAACAGGCAAACAGAGAGCCAAAUCAUGAAUGAACUCCCAUUCACAAUUGCUACAAAGAAUAAAAUACCAAGGAAUAUAGCUAACAAGGAAAGUGAAGGACCUCUUCAAGGACAACUACAAACCACUGCUCAAAGAAAUCAGAGAGGAUACAAACAAAUGGAAAAACAUUCCAUGCUCAUGGAUAGGAAAAAUCAGUAUUGUGAAAAUGGCCAUACUGCCCAAAGUAAUUUAUAGAUUCAAUGCUAUUACCAUUAAACUACCAUUGACAUUAUUCACAUAAUUAGAAAAAAAACCCUAUUUUAAAAUUCAUAUGGAACCAAAACAGAGCCUGAAUAACCAAGACAAUCCUAAGCAAAAAGAACAAAGCUGGAGGCAUCAUGCUACCCAACUUCAAACUAUACUACAAGCCUACAGUAACCAAAACAGCAUGGUACUGGUACAAGAACAGACACAUAGACCAAUGGAACAGAAUAGAGAAUUCAAAAACAAGACCACACCUACAACCAUCUGAUCUUUGACAAACCUGACAAAAACAAGCAAUGGGGAAAGGAUUCCCUAUUUAAUAAGUGGUGCCCAGAGAACUGGCUAGUCAUAUGCAGAAAAUUGAAAUUGGAGCCCUUCCUUACACCAUAUACAAAAAUUAACUCAUGAUGGAUUAAAAUUUAAAUGUAAAACCCCAAACUAUAAAAUCCCUGGAAGAAAAUCUAGGUGAUAUCAUUGAGA